rnacentral:rRNA from 1 species
GUAGUUUGAUCGUGGCUCAGAUUGAACGCUGGCGGCAGGCCUAACACAUGCAAGUCGAGCGGUAGAGAGAAGCUUGCUUCUCUUGAGAGCGGCGGACGGGUGAGUAAUGCCUAGGAAUCUGCCUGGGUAGUGGGGGAUAACGUUCGGAAACGGACGCUAAUACCGCAUACGUCCUACGGGAGAAAGCAGGGGACCUUCGGGCCUUGCGCUAUCAGAUGAGCCUAGGUCGGAUUAGCUAGUUGGUGAGGUAAUGGCUCACCAAGGCGACGAUCCGUAACUGGUCUGAGAGGAUGAUCAGUCACACUGGAACUGAGACACGGUCCAGACUCCUACGGGAGGCAGCAGUGGGGAAUAUUGGACAAUGGGCGAAAGCCUGAUCCAGCCAUGCCGCGUGUGUGAAGAAGGUCUUCGGAUUGUAAAGCACUUUAAGUUGGGAGGAAGGGUUGUAGAUUAAUACUCUGCAAUUUUGACGUUACCGACAGAAUAAGCACCGGCUAACUCUGUGCCAGCCG